rnacentral:lncRNA from 1 species
GAGCAGUCGCAUAGCAAGAAUCUCGAAGGAUUAACAAAAACUAAAAUCCAAGAAUCACAACAAUAUGCUUUCUGAUUCUGUACUAAAAAGAGUAAAAUCAAUCGAAAACAAUUCAAGACCGUCGUGAUCUAUGAUCAACCAUCGUUGCUUCGUGUGAAUCGCAGACCUGUGUCUUGAAUUUACAUCCGAAUUUUUUGGUAAUCGACCAACUUCUCGGCCGAUCAGUCGUCGUCGCCGGUGAUGAACCUUCCUUAUCAAUCUUCGCGAUCACUUUCUUCAUGUUCGAGCACUCUCUCUCUAACCGAUGAACACGCGUCCUCAUCGUAUCCAUAUCCAAGCGAAGCACCUGAUUCUCUCUAACCGUCUUCUUCCAUUUCCCAGCGUCCACCUGUCUUUCUCCUUCCGCUUCAUCACCGUCCUCUUCCGUUAUCGUUAGAUUCCUUAUUGCCGCUGACGGUCUUGGCUCCGUUGACUGUGACGUAGACGGCGAUUGAGCAGCUAAUAACGUCCCGGCGAUCGCGUGCCGGAGUUGUAACUGCUCGAAGAAGAGAACUUGUACGACGGCUCGUAGCGGAAGCCGCUCGUUUUGCGCGGCGUGUGUGCACGCUUCCAACGUCAGUUUCUGACAAUCCAUCACGCCGCAUAUUUUCUCUCUCUCUGCUUCCGAUACCCAUGGAUGCGCCUAUUGAAGAAAACGAAAUUUUCAAAACAAAUCAGAUCCAAAUUCUCCGAUCUUCUCUUCACAUUGAAUUUUAUUGUUAUACCUUGAGAUAUACGUCGACGGCUCUGUAAAGUCCGUCAUCAUAGAGACGAGCUUGAUCUGGGAGUGAGAUGGCUAGAUUGUAGAACUUAUCCGAUUUGAGAUUAGCGUCCGAUGCGAUCUCCGCGAGAAAUCCGUCGAUUAAUUUCCCGACGAGCAUCAGCGACGGAGAUUUUCCGUCAACUUCGACUAUGGCGGUGUUGGAUUGUUCCAAGGUGUCGAGAAAGUGGCCUAAGAUUCUCUCUACCAAAUCAACAUCGUAUAAAGUCUCGUUGAGGUAUGAGUAGCUAGGGACGAGCAAAUCGUCGAGCGUGGCUCUCUCUAGCUGCGAUCCGAUCUUUCUCUCCAGCAGAUCACGGCAAAUCUCGGCGGCGUUGAGGAUGAUUGCGGUUCGUAAUAAGCCGAAGAGGAAUCUCGUUGUUGAGGAGAUGGAGCUUUUAUCUAAUGGAAGAUUAGAGGUUAUUGUUUCCAGUAGUUCUCUCUGUUCAUUCUCUGAAACUGCGGUUGAAGAUGACGAUGGCGGUUUCCGGUUAGAACGUAGAAUCCCGGGAAUGUGCUUCUUAGCGUAACAAAUCAAACAGCUCUCUAUGAUAUCGGAGCUCAGAUCUCCUGAUCUCAUUGAUAGGAUCACAGUUUUGAAGAUCGGAAGACUCAGUUGCGUCAGAUCUUCAAACCACAGCUCCAUGUUCGAAUCUCUACUCGGUUUCUUUCGAGAUUUCGCCGCGCCGCCGGGUAUAAGUUGCAGAUCGGUGGCGGAGAUGUUUCCUCUUCCGCCGCCAUCGUUUACUGGCCAACCGAAGAGUGAAGGAUCAGCUGAGGAAGCUCUGGAGACUAUAGAGUCGAUGCACUGUUCCGUUAUACCAAGCGAUCCGGCUAAAGGAGAGACUGACUCACAAGCUUUGAGAGCUUUAAUGGAUUCACGCAAGCUCUUGUAGACGGAAUGAGAGAGAAACCUCUCAGUCUUGGAAAUUAGGUUAUCUGGUGAAUACUCUUCCGUCAUUUCGAGGUGUUCGGCGGCGCAACGAAGUGGAACAACGGUGGAAGCAGAGAGGUCCAUCUUGACGCCGUAGCAGAACUUCGCCACCAUCUCAAAGCUCUCUGAACUACCGGGAAAAUCCUCGAGUUUGAUUCUCUUCUACUUUUGGGUCUAUUACAGUUAUCAGCGCCAUGGAAGAGGAAGAUCUAGUCUCUUGCUCUGUAAUCAACCUGUGAAGUUUCCUGCUCUUUGACAUGAGUGGAAACUGGAAAAGCCACAGACAACAACACAAAUCUUGUGAGUAAUCAAAGAAAAAACAGAGAGUGCCAAAGAAGAAGACAAAUCUUCAGGCUUUUGUGAACGCACCUUAUGGAGAUGGAAUGUCAUGUCAUCAACUUCGAUUUCAAUGUCACUAGGUAACCCAGUCGUACAAAACCUGCAUCACGAUACCAAAACGAAAAAAAAAAGGAAAUGAGAAAAUUUCUUUAGGCAACAUUUUAAAAUAUUAUUAUUGUUAAGAUAAGUGUUAGCUGAUCUUCACCAUGCUUGGCCCUUGGAGGUAGAUUUCUCUGACGCCAUUAAUGGAGACAACAACUCAGGGCUCUGAAAAAAAUAUCACUCAAGACAGGAAAAAAACAAGACUCUCUCUAUCUCUUUCUAAAGAGGAGAAUAUGGAGAGAACAAGAAGGGGAAAGGGAAGGAAUUGGAAUCCUAAAUCAUAAGAAAGAGACACAUUAAAAGCAAAGAAAAACAUUAUUCGGAUAUCGAAAAAGGGGAUCUCGUUUUUGAUCCAUCUUUUUAUUUUCUUUAAUUUUAAUAAAAGUUAAUGUUUAGUUGGAGAACAGCAAGAAUCUCAACUACUCUCAACACGAGACACAUUUUCAGAUAAAUUACGCUUUGGGAGAAGCAAAAAUCCCACUCAUUUGUUAAUCAUUUAAACUAAUUCUUUAGUAAUAUAUACACACCCCUCUCGUUUUCUGCUU